ensembl:lncRNA
CAAAAAUACAUUUAUUUUAGAGAUUGCACAAUAAAUAGAUCUACUGUAUUGACUAAAGACACUUUUUUAAUUAAAUAAUUUACACAUUGACUACAAUAACCUUAAACUGGGGGCAAUUACUUACAAAAUGCAUGUAAUAUAUUAAGAUAUAAAUUUUAACAAUUAAUUGGCAUAUGUAAUUCAUUUAAUUAAAAUUUGUAAUAAUGACAAACUUAAAUUAAAAAAUAAUACUGAAUUCAAGUAUAAGAUUAACAUCUACUCAAAUGUAAGAUACCUUCAGCCAUUGACCUGAACUAACCACUCAAUUUUAGUUACAUCCAGUUAACAGGUUUGGUUAACAAAAUGUUCUGAGAAUGUUAAGCUGCAUUCAAGUUUGCAUAACAUCUAGUAGGUUCUAAAUCUGGGCUGAAACUUACUUUGCAACCAUUAAAAAUGUAUGUUCUAUAUAGUAUGAAUAUGGUUAGUAUGAGUUAAAUUCUGACAUACUACAUUUGGCAUAUUAUUGCUGUCACGUGACCUGCCAGCAUCAGAUCCAUCACUUCACUACCACUCAAAACUCCUCUCCGGUGGCUACAUGGGAUAGUGUCCAUCUAAUGCGCACACCAGAAUCUCGGUGGAAGUAGUAUGUCAUCCGGGUACUUUUUGCCUACUGUUUUCCUACUGUCAAUUCAUUUUGACAAACUACUCUUUUGGUGUACUGUUUUUCACAUACUAUAUAGUGCAAUAGUAGGCAUAUCAGGAUACAGAGUUACUCUAUGAUUCUAAAAAAAAAAAAAAAGCCUAAAAAGACCUUUAUUUUUAAACCAACCUAGAAAAUUAAGGUAAAGCCAGAGUAGCGAUUUCACUUUAGAAGUGAACUUUGAAAUCUCACGUUUCUGUGGACAUUCAGCCGCACUGUGACCGAAGCCAUCUGGAGCAUUUCCCCUAAGGCACUCUAGCCUUCCACUCCAAACCCAAUUAGCCAAAUCACAUUUCAAAAGUGCUUGAGUUUACCAGCCAAUAGUCAAAUCCUUCAGGUGUCAAAAAGAAGGCUUAGACCUGGAGGAGAGAACCAGAGAGCAGAAUGGAGUGGGAUUAGAGUGAACAAAAGGGCCACAGAUAUCCUCCAACACCUGUGCAGGUACUGUGGCCAGUGGAGUGUUUGCUAAUGGGAAAAGCCUUUGGUCUAAUUUGCAGGUGCUCAGAACCUAAUCUCCCAUCUCUUAGGAUGGGCCGUGUAUCUGUUUACGUCUGUACUACUUCAGCAGACUCAGUCUCACUUGAUAGGCAGAAGACUUCCAUCCAUCCUUGCAGCGUAAUCUAGGUUAUCAAUCAUUUAUAUCAGUAAUUAGGGCCUGGUGUCAAAACAGAAAUGGAACAUGAGCCUGGGGACUUGUAUGCAGCGGGGUUGACAUCAGACUUGGCCAGUCUUAUGGCCGAUGUGGGUAUGCGUGGGUGAGAUUGGGGGGUAUGGGUGCAUGUCUGAAUGCCGAACUGUGGUCCAGAAGCCUGAGGUUAAGACAUUCCACACAACUUGAUCCAUGUUUAAGAAUUCCAUUUGUUCCAUGUCUUCCUAUAGACAAUCAGGACAAAAACUAGAAGAAUUUGGUUGAAUUGUUUCCCCAAGAACCUUUCAGUCAACAGUUCUUAAAAGAACCAUUUUUUUGUGUAACCUUUACCAUUUUCAAGAACCUUUAAUGCAGUGUAAAUCUUAAAGAUGUAAUGAACUGCAUUUUUUAUUAUUAUUUUAUAAUGUUCUCUGAGUUCACAUAUAAUGUUAGUGUAAUUUUACAUAAAAAACAAAAAACAAAAAAAACAACAUCAUAAUUUAGAGGUAAUAGGCUAUUUUCUAUCCUGUCUUUGAGCCAUUCUGCAAAAUAGUCUGUUUUUAUUGGCCGGGUGCAUUCAAGACUCACAAGUAAACACCCACUGCUGUGAUUGGCUAACAGUUUCACUUAUUAAAUGGACACUGCUGUGACAUACUCUGAAAACAACAUGGGUCAUUUGGGUUAAAAACAUAUAAAUACUUAAAUGGUCUGGAACAGACAAUGCAAUCAUGGUAAAAACAAGUUUACUGACACUUACUGUAUGUGUUGCGACAUUAUUGUUAUAUCCAAAAUAGACUCAGCACUGAAUCUUCUUUUACUUUAAGUCUAUCUAAAAAGCCUGCAUCAUACAGUCUUGUUUAAAAAUGAAUAUGUAGUAAAGUAAAGCAAACAAACAAACAAACAGUGUUUCACUGACACAAUCUGGAGCUCUCUGCUAAUUUAAUCCCUUGUAAACACUGGACGCGAGCAACGCAAUAUGACUAUUGACAAUAUAAUCUGUGAUUCUGUCUACACUGGAUGUGGCAUGGAUUGACACAACAAAUCCCUAAUAGUAAACUGAUGUCCCACUCUAUUUCUGACAUACUCCAAGCAUUCAUGCCGCUUCUGACCUGAAAGAGAAUGAGAUGGGACUAAAGAGGCAGUGAUGUAGAAGCAGGCAUUGAUCUUCUCCAGCAGAGGCAGACUUUCACACUACUACUGUGUCGUAAAGUGACACAUUCCAAAACAAGUCGUUUUAUGAACUUGGUAUCAAUAAAAGUAAUUUUUAAACUAAGAAAGUUUUGAGUUUUGAAACUUGCAAGAUGUUUUAAUAGUACAGCAACCUGUUAAAUAUCAAAAGAUCAAGGGAAAGUUGAUUUCUCAGUUCACGGCCCCUUUUAAGUUUCUUCAUGGAACCAUGCCAAUAAAGAACGUAAGAGUGUAAAACAGAAACAUUUAGGAGUCAAAUGACUGUAUUUAGUUGACAUAUUACAGAUUUGCCCCAGAAAAGUGGUUGUUCCAAAGCACUUCAGUUCAUAAUAUUGGCACCACUCUAUUUUAUGGACCAAUUCUCGCUAUUUAAUAGUUGUUUAUGGGCAUGCAUAUUACUAGUAUAUUGGUUGUUUAUUAGUACUUAUAAAGUAGAUGCUAAUGCCCGUAUGACCAUAUUUUAGAUUUCUUAAUCCUAACCAAUACCUAAACUUAACAACAAGUUAAUAGUUAGUUAAUAGUAAGAAUUUGCCCCCCAAACUAAAGUGUGACCAUAAUAUUUUUAAAUAAUGUAUUUUCUUUUUCUUCUUCUUCUUUUUUUCUGAUCUUUUUUGAUUUCAGUAAUGGCUUUGAAUGAUUCACUAAUUGAUUCUGUUUCAACCUGAUGCAAGC